CGAGUAGGCUGGCAAGCCCCAGGAAGAAGGCUGGCAGUCAGAGUGGCCACUACAGCUCUCUGCAGCAGACCCUCUUCCCAGGCCAGACAGCUCAGCCUUUGCCAGAGUGAAGACAAAGAAUGAAGUGUUCAUAAAACAGAGCUAUAAAGGGAUCAUAUUGCUAGACUGGAGUCAUGCACUGGCUGUCAACUGACCUUCCAUGCCCCAUGCGUGUCUUUAUAACCUAGGCAGGAAGUGGAUGUACCAAGGUACCAUUUGAUGAUGUUGAAAGAAUGGCAGAGUUUAUACUAUUACUGAGCUACCUUAAACUUAAUCAACAAAAACUGCUAUCAAUUCUUCGAAGGAAAGUUCAUCUUGGAAUUAUAUAUAUUUCAGCACAAACAUUCCAACAAUGUUGCAUUAACACUGAAUGAACAAAUUCAAAUUGCAACACUCUUGAGGAAGAUCUAGAUUUAAAGAUUGUCAGAACUCUUUAAGAAAGAGAUGCUGUGAAUUCGGUUGAUUUCAUUGCUUGAAAAAAAUGGACAGCAGUGAUUCAGGGUUAAAAGCCAGCAUGUG